UGAUCUCAAAUCAGGUAGGACUACCCGCUGAACUUAAGCAUAUCAAA
rnacentral:rRNA from 1 species